rnacentral:rRNA from 1 species
AACGAACGCUGGCGGCAUGCCUAACACAUGCAAGUCGAACGAGACCUUCGGGUCUAGUGCCGCCCGGGUGCGUAACGCGUGGGAACCUGCCCUAAGGUUCGGAAUAACUCCCCGAAAGUGGUGCUAAUACCGGAUAAUAUCUUCGGCCCAAAGAUUUAUAGCCCUAGGAUGGGCGCGAGUUGGAUCAGAUGGUUAGUAGGGUAAAAGCGUACGAAGGGGACGAUCGAUAGCUGGUCAGAGAGAAAGAUCAGCGACACUGGGACUGGGACACGGUCCGGAAUCCUGCAGGAGGCGGGAGUGGGGAAUAUAGGACUACGGGGUGAAGGAUGAACGACCACGGCUGCUAGAGUGAUGAUGGCCUUAGGGUUGUAAAUCUCUUUUACCCGGGAUGAUAAUGACAGUACCGGAAGAAUAAGCUCCGGCUAACUCCGUG